rnacentral:lncRNA from 14 species
CAGAUGCUCUUUGUAAUCUCCCUGCACUCAGAAACCUCCAAAUUCCCUGGAAGACAANNNNNNNNNNNNNNNNNNNNGGCGCCCCCCACGCCUCUGAUUGGCUGCGGCGGUUGUCAAUCACGCUUAGUCCCGCCCGGCGCCGACGGCGCCCCCCCACGCCUCUGAUUGGCUGCGGCGGUUGUCAAUCACGCUUAGUCCCGCCCGGCGCCGGCUCCGCCCCCCACUCCUCUGAUUGGCUGAUGCGCACGUGACCCGCUCCUAGCCACGCCCCUCUCCGGCUCCGCGCCCCCCUCUCCUCUGAUUGGCUGAUGAGGACGUCACCCUCUCGUAGCCACGCCCCUUUCGGUCAUCGCCCCCCCACUCCUCUGAUUGGCUGAGGCUCCACCCGCGCAGUCGCUUUUCUUCACCGUGUGCAGUACCGAACUUUGGCCACAUGAUGGCAGCACCAGUCGUCUCUCGGCGCUGCACCUCCGCUUUCCCGACCCGGUUUGCCGCUGAUUGCCGCCCGAAGGACACACGCUUUGGAGUCUUGCGGCGUUUUGUGCUGUUGUGCUGGGAUGUUUGCCGUAAUGGAAUCAGCUGAGUGCGGAGCAUCAGGACCUCUCAAGGCUUCCCAGCAGCUCCCACCCGUAAGCACCAAAGAGUCCUCCUCAGCCUCGGGUCUGAGUCAGCUCCCCGGGCAUGGGGCAUUCUGUGCUGCAGGGAACAGAGCGUGCGGGCGACACGGGUCCUGCAUGGACACCUCGUUGCUGCUCUCGUCUGCGUGCGAUCAUCCAGGGUGAGACCAGGGGACAUACUAGGAAGACUGCUUGGGAUGCCUUCCGUCUUCUCCCUGCGUACCAGGAACUCUGUCAUCUGACGGUGAGUAAUACCAGUGUGCUUUUGUACACGGUAUGCAGCCUGCCAAAGUGUUUUGCUUCCAAGUUACCAUUGUGUAUUACCCAAAAGCAACUGAGACAUUUGGGGUUAGCUUUGUAUAUAGAUACAGAUGAGGCAUCUGAAGCGUGUCUGUCUGUAAAAAAUACCUACAUUUAG